AACACUCCCAAACACGAGCCCAUCCCCUCCCCGUCUUGGCGUCUCUCAAUGUGCAGCGCCGCUCACCUCACCGGCGACCCGAAUCCCUCGCCGUCCCCGUACAUGAUACCCGGCGCGUGUCCACUUGGUCUCCGUUCCGCUCCGCCGCGCUGCGAGGUGCUUUACCUGUCUCAUGCAUCUGAUUCAAGCGAAGCUGGAUGACAAUUUGCUAGUUCUGUGUCUUCCUGCCAUGGUAUGUUUAGCAGGGAAGAGUCCUUCCUAAAGAGCACAAUUGUGUUGUAUGUGGGUGACAUGGCAAGUACACAUGUGGCCAAAUAAUGGAAGCUUUUGACUCUGUUAAUGCUUUUUCGAAGCGGACUCUGUUAAUGCUAGGUAUCUGCAAAGAAACAGUUAUGUUCCCAGUUGACAAAAUCUCUAGUUGUUCAAAUGUGCAGUUGUGGCACUUAUGGACUAGCAAGGACCAUUUGCAGUUGCUCCUGUUGGUGGAAGAGCAAGCAAUAGUGCUUCAAAAGGAUCUACCUUUUAAAACUUCUCUAUGGCGAUCCUUUGCCCCAGAAAUGGAGAAAUUGAGAUGUGUGGUACCACUAUCUAUAGUAGGCUGGUUGAUCCUACAAUGUUGAACCUUAUAAUCUUCUGCACCCUUGUUUGGAUGAUUUAGAUUGUUUAAAGUCAAUGACAUGUAGGUAUUUAUAGGCCAUGUAACUCUUUCAAGCACUUCCACAAGACCUAAUUGCGUCAUUUUAACCAGGUUGUGAUGUUUCAGCAUUCAGCAGCAGUAUGUUUGAUCAGGAAGACUAAAACUCUGGUGACAGUAAUAUAUGUACCAGAUGGAAACAAAGUAAGCUGUACAAAGGAUUUGAACAACUGAACAAGUAGUCACCAUUGUGGAGUUGUAGAAUUUUCAUUACAGGAGAAAUAUCUGCCACUGUUUCUAACAAGUUUAUGGACAGAGUAUGAAUCGUGGAUUUUGAGAGUAUGCCAAGUCAUAUUUAGUUAACCUGAAAAAUUCCUCCAAGCAGUAUCUUGAAUGGAGGACGGGGAUGUGUUAAUUUCUUUGCGAUUGAGGAUGACUGCAAGAUUUUAGUUGGUCUGUUCAUUCUCUGAAGCCUGUCGGAGUGCAGUGGCGACUCUUCGUCUCUUUGACAUGCAUUCUAUAGCAUAAAUUCAUAUGACAAAUGUAAAUUAUCUGCCCCUAUGUCAGUGUAAACAAUAUAUGAGUCAAAUACAAAGGUAUGAUUUGCAGUUUUCCUUUAUCCUAUUGUAGUUGUUCAAGUUUUUGAUUUGUGAAAGUAAUUGUUAGAAUCCGUUUGUAGUUAAUGAGUUACAUCACAGCUUUAGAACAUUUGAUUCUGUACUUGUGUGGCUAGCUCUAGCACAGGCAACUAUGAUUGAUGUCUUACCAUAUAUAGGAGUGACUCUAUACUCUCCCAGCAGAAAGCUGGACAGAUCUUGGUAGCUAAUAAUUUAGUGCAAAUCAGCCAUUCAACUCAUUUUGGUUUUAGGAUAUUUGCUGUUUCCUUUCAAGAAGCAUGGAGUCAUUUUGCUCCCUUAUUGUACGAUGCCCCUUAGCAUAUGUUACUCUUACGGCGACUUCUUUUGCUGUAGUUUUGGUCCCUUCUAGUCUAGAUACUUAAGGAAUUUUCUUGGUUGUCAAUCUGCUCUGUGUUUUCACUCGGGAAUGCAAUGAUUAACCCGUUUGCCACAUUCUAUCUAGACCUCCUGCUCCUCCAUAUUGAAUUAUAGGGUCAAAUUUGUGACCUGGUUGCUUGUGGAUAUAUCUAGUAUCAAACAAUCAAGGUGUCCGGUAUAGGUUGAUUAUGUCGGGUAAUAUGUGCUCUUUCUGAACUUCUUUUGUAUAGAGAAGUUAUACUUCUAUUGUAUUGAUUGUACUUGGUUGGGAAUUAAGUUACGCUCUGGCCAUUUCUAAAAUGAGACUGAGAGGGAAAUUUUAUAAUAUGUGGGUUACUCGUUUGUCAUCUUUUGAAAGCAAAUGGACAAAUACAUAUAACAUGACCUCAGUCCUAUUGUUGCUUUGAAGGUUGCUUUUGCACAAUGUAGGCCUGGCACAUUUAUGCUCUUGAAACUGUUCGCCUGGGUUCUUGUGCUCUAAGUGUCAUCACCUGCCUAUAACUCUUGACUAUCAUAUUCUGGUUAAAAAAUUUCUUGACUAUCAUAGGGUCCAUGCAUUCAGGUCUGUUAGUCUAUGUUUAGCUUAAGGAUAUUAUUCUGAGAAAUAGAAGAUCUGCACAACUAUUUAGGUUGCAAAUAAUAAGUGAGACCGAACAUCAUUCAAGUAUAAAAGAAUUCAAAUGAUGAAAUUGAAAUUGUGGCUGUCGAAAUAAACAGUUUAUGCAUGUACCAAGACCAACACCAUGACUUCACAUUUUUCAAACGAACAAAUUAUUACACUAGACAAUAUUGAUGCCAGACUUGAAUCAAAUACAAUUGCGCCAUUAGUGUUUAUGUGAUAGGUGGAAAAGCCCCCCCCCCCCCCCCCCGGCCCCUGCGUCGCUCCCAGGGGGCGACUCGGGUGGCGAAACCCUAGCCGCCACCUCAAACUCCCCUCGCCGUCGCCGGAGGAUACCGGCGGGCGAAGCCCUCGCCGGUGGACGGCGGCGGCGGGGCCCUCGUCCGUGAGCUCGCGCGCUGCUGUUUGUGCGCUGGAGCGGCGGGAGCGCGCGGUGGCGAGGCAGGCGGUCGUCUGCGCUCCGGGGAGGCCGUGAUGGUGUGGAACGCGUGCGCGGUGGCGCUGCUGUGGCGGCGGCCGGCCGCUGCUACGAGCAGCAGAGAUGAGGGCGCCCAGAUCUGGGUUGCGCGUUUCUGCCCCAACCCACCCGUCCCCCUCCUUCCACCCUCCCGGCCGCCGCCGGUGGUAGCCGCUGGGCGGGUGAGCACGCGCGCGGCGGCCCUUGCCCCGGCGAUUCCUGGCGGCGGAUGCUGCGGGCCGGCGUGGCGGCGGCGCGGUGCACGUGGCUGUUGUCGCCUGCUCGCCGCGCUCCCGGCGGUGGCCCUCACGAGUGCGGCUCUCCACAAUGAAUAUGAGGACGAGAGCGGCCCUCACGAGUGCGGCUCUCACUACCAGAAGGAGUGGGUAGUAGCGGCGGAGCACUCGAGCGAGAAGGUACUGGUGGAGCAGCAACUUGAGCAGCAAGCACAGAUGGAACUUGAAGCAGACCGGCACCACGAAGGCGAGUCUCCUCAGCACGAAGCUCAGAAAGCACCUCAGAAAUAGGAACACGGCCACGAGCAAACAACUGAGCACGCCGAGGCUCAAACUCCCCACGGAGCCGCGACAGAAACUCAUAGACACGCUGAAACUCCAAGUCGGACCUCACAGUCUGGCAACAGGCGCAAGUGCCACAAACAGCAGUGCGAAGGGAGUCAAGCUGGCGCCAGAUAGCAGAACUCUGAGUGUAGAACUCAUCAAUAGUGGAGUCUCCCUGCUGAAGAGCAUGCUCCUGACGUACCACAGACAAGUAGAGAGCAUCACCAGAGGGCUGAUAGCGCUGACGAAGAUGAGUCCACAUCUCAAACACAGUGCCGAGACCCAUAAACUCAGAAGCAAACUGUGGUAGAACACUGGCAGUGAGGACAGCAGCUGCACGAGCAUCAUCAUCACACCACUGAGUGUAAGCAGCCAGAUCAUCACGAUAAACGGAAAGAGCAUCCGAAUAAACCACGACCUGCUGGUCAUAAGCAGCAACCGCAUCAUCAGCAGCAACUCGGGCUGCAGCCCUAUCAUCAUCAGAAGCAUUUGCCGCAAGAUCCGGUGGAGGCGGCGGUGGGAUAGGAGCCACAGGAGGAACCGGGCGCUGAGGACAAGGAACCUCGCCGGAAAGAACUCCCCAGAGACGAAGGACACGCAUGUGAAUGCGCAUAAAAGCAGCAAACUCAGCAUAGCUAGCCCCAUCAAAAAUCACCGGGCAGCGCGGAAUGGCGACAUAGCCCAACGAGGUCGAAGACAUGGUGUGCUCUCUGUACCUCUUUUUUUUUUACCUUCUCUUUUUUUUAAUCAAUCCACACAACCGAUCGAUGAAUCCAGAGUAAGUCAAACGAUAGAAGCAGCGCCCGCAGCGCUCGUACACCAGAAUCAGAGGAGCAAAGUUGCGGCGACCCGACCUGGGUGAGCCAAAGGCCAGCGGCGGCGGCCGGACCAGAGCGCCAGUCAGAGACGCGGAGGCGGCGGCCGGACCUGAGCGCCAGUCAGAGACGCGGCGACGACUGCCGGACCUCGAGCACCAGCCCGAGACGCGGAGGCGGCGGCCGGACCCGAGCGCCAGUCAGAGACGCAGCGGCGGCGGCGGCCGGACCUCGAGCACCAGCCCGAGACGCGACGGCGGCGGCCCGACCUGGAAGAGCAGAAGGCCGAUGGGGGAUGCCGGACCUCGAGGCGGCAGGGUGCCUCGAGUGGCCGGACUUCGCUGUUUGGCGGGUAGAGACGAGACGGAGAUCGGCUACGAGACGCGUCAGGAGCACUAGCACGAUCUGGCAAACGGGAUCGGCGGCAGAGCAAAGAGAUUGACUUCACGGAGAGGAGCAGCAGCGACUGGUUCGAUGAGACCAAGUCUCGAUGGGAUCCAACAGCCAGCUAUGGAUCGAUGUGUGGACGCCCGCAGGAGCGGAGGAGCAGAAUGAGCCGGUGAGAGAUUGGAUCGAAAAAAAAACUAGAGCUCUAAUACCAUGUUGAGAGGAGAACAACUUGUAUUAUUAGGAGGUCAAAGCCAACAUAUAUACACAUACAUGAGGAUGCCAAAAGGCUCAAGAGGAUGCCAAUAGACUAGAAUGCAAAAGGCCAAAAGACUAUAUUAAUAUAACUCUAACAGUACCUCUGAUGUCUUCCUGUUCAAUGAAAUGAAACGCAAAGUCUCUUGCGUUUUCUCGAAAAAAUACAAUUGCGCCAUGCAUAUUUUUUAAAUAGUAUCAGAUUUGAUCUAUGUCCUAUUGCCGUAUGAAAGUUGUUGGUCCAGAAGUUCGAACUAGUUCACUUGGCCUUUCUGGACUGUUUUUUUCAAAAAGAAAAUGUUGGUGAUGUGCAAUAACUAGACACUAACCAGUAGGACCAGGCAAACCACUAUAUAUUCAUUCUUCAAAGGUAUGUCAGCGGGAGCUGUCAAAAAGUUAGUUUAUUCUAGUGAAAUAAUGUUUUUACAAAAUUACAGGUUUAUUUUCAAAUCUAUAAAGAACUAAAGGGUUAAGCAGCAAUUUAGCAUAGAGUAGCCUUCCAUACCUAUUCUGUAGCCUGGUCAACUGCGAUGCUAGAUGUUCGUCUGCAUUUUUAUUACCAUGUCGGGCCAUCGCUAUUAACACUGAAUUCUCAAAACAUCCUAGAAAACAUUUACUACUUCCUUGAGAAGUUUACCCCUUAUCUCUGUACUUCUUCAAGCUCGAAAAAAGAACUCUGUACUUCUGCAAGAUUAAUGAGUAAAUCUUCAGUUUUUCGAUGUUUUGACCGCCGCCUGUAGUCUUGGAAAUUUUUCUCUAGUAUUAUACGAUGGUCGAAAUUGGGGAUCUUUUCUGCAUGCAUACCACGGUUACACUGUGACAUAUACUAAAAUGUUGUUCUGAAAGUCUUAGUGUAAUGUAUGUGUAAACUGAAAUAAAGGGUAUGCAUUAUUUAUUUUGUUCUAUGGACAGGAUUGUUGAAAUAAACCCAAGAUAAUGAUUCAUCAAGCAUAUAACCAUUCUGAAUGGCUAUGAGCCUUUGAUAGUGUCAAGAUCUAACAACUAGCUAGGACCACCAGCAGUACUAAGCCCUCCUAAGAGGGGUAGGGGUCUGAUCAUACACUAAGCAGUUAUACUUACCAACGCUUUGCAAUGGGUGGUUGGCUGAUCUACAGCUAGCUGCUUGCAGAAAUGCUGGUCAGACCUGAUUCUUUUAGAGUGAUGUUUUAGAGAAUGUGCAAGAGCUUUGCACAUUUUAUCAUGAAGAAGCGUGCCAGAUGUGAUUUAUCUUUGAUAAAAGAAGUAUCGAUACCGAUAAACCCAGAGUGUGCGUACACACUAACUGCAGACCAAAGCAUUCCAAUAUUUACUAAGCAGGUUCAUUUCCUAUGUGCAUUAUGAAUUAGCUGUGUCCGCACAUAACAUGUUUCGUUGGCAUCUUCCUAAACAUGGUAAAUUGGCGGUUCUCUCAUGUUGGGUCUCUUUUACGCUAUAGCUUUGCGUAGUAUAGCAAUUUACUCGCUGGAUAUUUCAGCAGUCCAAUGUGUUUGGAACUCGGAAUAGUUAUAAAAGUAUGGUGGUAUACUUUUGAUUUGAACCAUCUGGUAAUCUUUGAUUCAAUUUUUACAGGUCACAAUACAAUGACAAAAUCUAGACUCUCGGCCCUAAUCAACCCUAAUUUCUUUACUUCUUAAUUGCAAAUUUAUGGUUCACUAUUUGAUGCAUGGUUAAUACUCCAUUUUUUUCUUUUGGGUGUUUUUUCGGAGAAAGAAGUUUAGGCAAACUUAUUUUUCAAAUGAUGUUGUCUCAUAUCUGAGUAUAUAUUGCAUAGUCUUCGCAAAAAGGUAUACAUUACAGUGGAAACCAUGCACUGCAAGUGUGCGGUUGCUGAUAUACCAAUUACCAAGUCUUAUGACCCUAACCCUACAAGUUUCUAUACCAAUAAUACUACAAGUUAGGUGAGAUGCUUUCCGUUUGAACUAUUUGUGAAUCCUUAAUUCAGUUUAUAAAUCACAAUACAUUGGUUGUUGGCAAAAAAUAGACUCUCAACCCUAAUCACUUCUAUAUUAAUAGGCACAUGAUUAGUCUCUGAUAUAGUCUUUUGUUACAACCUAGUGUGAACUUAUCCCUCGAGUGGUUUAUGGGAGAAAUAAUUUCAGUGAGCUUCUAUUUUAAAUACGUUUUUCUUUGUAUGUGUGAAUUGCCUUAAAAAUACUUAUCAUAUCUGUCCUACUUAUGCUCGUCUGUUCACUCUUCUCCCAAUCUUCCUCCUUCAAACUCUGACAGGGCAGGACCAUGCAAACCUUCACGGUCCUCCUGAAUUCCCCCCUCGUGCCGUCUCCUUCCACUAAUUACAUUCGGACCAACUGUCAAACAAGUUCUUGUUCUUGGGUAUACCAAAUUCCACCUUGUUUUCUGUGGUUCGUGGCGUAGCACAGGCACCUUGCUGGUAAGCAGUAGAAUAUAGUGGAAAUGUACACUUAAAAUUGAUUCUUCACUUACAAGCUAAGGAAUGCAUGACGUCCUUUGUCUAACAGUUUACGUUUGCAGCCUCCUCUUUAUCCAAAAGUUGAAACAUAGCAGCUUUCCAUUUUUCUACUCAUUGGCAUUGCCAGGGUAAUACUCCUGCUAUCUUUACCAUCCACUUGACAAUGUCAUUAAUCAAUUAGUUGGCAUGUACAUGCACCAUAAUUUGGGCCAUUUUAGGUGGAUCUGGGGGAUAACAGUGUCAACAUCGCUGGGUAACUUAAUGCGAUAUGCCUUACAAAUGUUGAAUGUUGAUUAGGAUGGCAUCGCCAGAUUGAUUCCAAUGAGUGUAGCAAAGGGCAAAGUUAAUGUUGGGGGACCAGUACACCUACACUACUGGACAUAUUGAAUGCAUGCUUUUGCAACAUGGGAGGUCCUUCACCAGCUACUGUGGCACCACAAGAUGUCAAGGCGGGACUAGUAUGAUCUUUUUCAGAAAAUAUAGCAGCAGCAGCAGUGUCACUACCCUAAAUCAUUGGAGCAUCAUAUAUCUAACAAUUUGUUCUGCAGGACAUAUUAGGAGCACUAAUUGUCAUAAUAUUUCAGCUUUGCUGUGCGGAGCCCAUUUAUUAUGUUUUGAUGGAUGGAGACCUGAAGUGGUGAUCACCUUUUCUGAUAACAAGGACAUGACGAGAAAGGCAAACUGAUUUGUUUGUAUCUAAGCAUCCCAACUCAGUAGGGAUCUCGCUAUAUUGGCAUCGCUUUUGCUUCUGGCCACCACCAUUGGAUUUCACCAAGGUCUUAAUCAGCAAUUUUCUUAGAGCAUCUGAUGAUUCGUGACUGAUCCCUUGUGUAUUACAAGAGGGUUACACACGGGAACAUCCAGGAAUUGCAUGGAGAGUCUCAUGCGCAGGAGUAAUUGAUUGACAGAUGUUUUCGGUAAAUCGCAUUCUUCGUCUCGUUUGGGCUUACCAAAUGAUUUCGAAAACUCGGGGUGCACGCUAUCUCUUACCUUCGGUGAUUACUCCUUCCGGCUAUACGAAGUACUAACAUGCCGCAUACAUGUUCAAAAUUUUGUGCUUGCAUAGUUGCAUUCAUAUGAUGGUCCAUUUACAAAUUUUGGAACCUUGUUCUUAAUUAGGGUUACGACUAUGGGACUAGAAUGAACAGUGCUUACAGACGACUGUCUUGUCAAACUAAGAAUGUGCAAAUAUCACCUCACCAUAUUCCGGAUAUCCCUUUGAUGAAGAGAGACGCUUAAAUUCGCCCGACUGAAAACAACACUUCAUCUGUAUAGUCUAACAAAGGAAAUCAAAUGCACAAGAGUACUGCACUACAAGGUGUUUAUUCCAUUUA